UACGUAGGUGGCGAGCGUUGUCCGGAUUUACUGGGCGUAAAGGGCGUGCAGGCGGUUUGUUAAGUGCAGAGUGAAAGCUCCCGGCUCAACUGGGAGAGGUCUUUGCAUACUGGCAAACUCGAGGGAGGCAGAGGAAAGUGGAAUUCCCGGUGUAGUGGUGAUAUGCGUAGAUAUCGGGAGGAACACCUGUGGCGAAGGCGGCUUUCUGGGCCUUACCUGACGCUGAGACGCGAAAGCGUGGGGGAGCGAACCGG
rnacentral:rRNA from 1 species